rnacentral:lncRNA from 1 species
GAGGAAAUAAAGGCUUGAGAGAUCUUGAGGUGGCAGUUUACAGGAGGGUAAAAGGAAACAGGAGUUAGAAUAAACAAUGUUAGUAAAAACUUGGAUGCAAGAUUGACCUUAUGCAAUCUCUAAGGUACAUUGAAUUGAAUGAGGGAGAGAGUUCUAAACUGCUUGUUCUCAGUCUACUCCAGGUAAAGCUUACAAAACUGCCUGUUGGGUUCUUUCAUCGUUAUUGUUGCCACUGGAAGGGCUUUUACCACCACUUUUGAACUCUACAGCCUCCUGAAUAUAUCUGUCCAUCUAAGAAAAGGAUUAAAUUCAAGAUAACCCUUGUCAUCUGCAUGCUGCCACAUGGUUAGGAUGAAGACUGACACACGAGACAAGUGAUGGAGUGUCACAGCCACAGAGGGGCACAUCAACCUGAUACAAGAGAAAUGGAGCGAGGAGAGGUGUUAAAUCACAGAAUUUGGAAAGAAAAAGGGCAUCCAACAGCCUUAAAGAUGAAGAAAUGGAAGCUCCAGAGUUGAAGAAAUGUGUCUUCACUCCCACAAGUAAUCUUGAAGUUCCGAGCCACCAUGAGAGUUUUCCUGACACUGAGGUAAUUUCCUACCAUGUUGACACCACCUUGCGCCAGUGUUCAAGACCAUCACAGCUAUGAACCUUGUUGGCUUGUAUCAGAUGCCUGCUGGGACCUUGGCUGCCCAUAGUGCUCUCUAAAGACUCCAGCUUUCCAUAACUCCUACAGUUUUAAGUUCAAGGAAUGAUGAAGAGGACGCCAAUGUACGGAUUUGAUUUACCAAAUCAGGCCUGUACAGCAGCUGAAUCAACCUAUGGGAAAAUUUUGGCUCUCUUUAACAUUCUAAUUUUUGAGAACACCAUUGCAAAUACAUGAUUUCCAAAAUAAUAACAAUGCACUUAAUUAAUCACAUUAUAGAUCAUCAUAUAAAAAUAAAUACCUAAAUAGAAAUACAAUUUAUUUUUUUCUUAAAUUCCAAAUUGCAUAGAGCUGCCUCCUCUGCAGUUUUCCAUCACUGCCUCCUUCUCAGACUUCUCCUUUUGUUUUUUCAUUUCUUUGUACAGACUCCAGUCAUUUGUUUAAAUAUUCAUACUCAACCAGAAUACGUUUCCUAAUGUGGGAAUCAUUGCUUAUUCACAGGCACAGCCCUUGACAUCCUGAAAACAUGUAGUAAUGAUUUUUGGAAUAAAGGUUUGACACUUCUACAUUUACAUGUAAAUGGAGUUAAAAAAUUCUAGGUUGAGAAUAAGAAUACUAUAAAAAUUUUGAUCUAAAAUGGAUGUUAGAGAUAACCCAGCGCAACCAGUUGCUCUUACAAUUGAGGAAACUGAGGUCAAGAAUGAGUGAGUGGCUCAGAGUCACCCAGCUCAUUAGAGCCUGAAUGAACCACCUUGGUUCACUACCUCUGUUCACCGCCCUUUCUAGUGCACUUCAUGAAAUCACUCUCUAAGUACACAUCAACUCAUUUAGAUACUUAAAUGAUUCUUGAGAAAGUAGAAAGUAUAAAUGCCUUGACCACACAUAAGAACUUUGACAUAUUUCACUCUCUGUACUGAAAUUUCUAACAAUGCCUGGUACAUAAUAGGUAUUCAGUUGAUUUGGGUUUCUACAUCCCUUUUCUCCUUCUCUUCUUCAAGUUUGCAUGUAAACCACAUUAAAGACUGCUAAUAUAUAAAGUAGGCACCAUCUCAUGAAUCAAAGAGGGGAUUCCUAGAGCCACUGAGGAUGUCUUUAGAAGCCAGUGGUGCUGAUCCCACAGCUACUCUCCUGUGGACAGUGGAAGUGCUCCCCAAAGUACAUUCUUAGGGGAAAUGGGGCUGCCGCCAUGAGGAGGUGUCAAUAGAGAUUAGAGAUGGUCUUUGUGCUGUGAGAGAGACCUCACAUUUCCAAAUGCCAAGUCCUUUCUUCCUCAGUCAAAUGUACCCCCUAGAACAUAGAUACCUACUAAGCUGUAGAUUUUUGAGGGGAUACAGAGCUGAAUCCAUAAGAUAGUGGAUUAUUCAGAUAAGAAUUUCUGUAGAUAGAGAGUUUCCAAUCAAUUAUGUACCCCAACAAUGUGAGGUCAACUACUUAGACUACCUCUUAGCUUCUACAUUUAGAUGUUUCAAAGUCUGUUCUGAUCCUUAAAUUUGACACUUCUCUUUAAUAUAAACAAAGCCCUUUUAGUAUUCUUUGGGAUUAGCUUACCACUUAAUAAAUUCCUUCCAACACUAUCUUCUGUGAGUCAACAAACAGCUUCCUCCUG